GUGAGGAAUUUUCCGCAAUGGGCGAAAGCCUGACGGAGCAAUGCCGCGUGAAGGAUGAAGGCCUAUGGGUUGUAAACUUCUUUUCUCAGAAAAGAAUUAUGACGGUAUCUGAGGAAUAAGCAUCGGCUAACUCUGUGCCAGCAGCCGCGGUAAGACAGAGGAUGCAAGCGUUAUCCGGAAUGAUUGGGCGUAAAGCGUCUGUAGGUUGUUUAAAAAGUAUUCUGUCAAAGAUUAGGGCUUAACCCUAGAUAGGCAGAAUAAACUUUUAAGCUAGAGUUUGGUAGAGGCAGAGGGAAUUCCCGGUGGAGCGGUGAAAUGCGUAGAUAUCGGGAGGAACACCAAAGGCGAAGGCACUCUGCUGGGCCAAUACUAACACUGAGAGACGAAAGCGAGGGGAGCAAAUGGGAUUAGAUACCGAGUAGUCC
rnacentral:rRNA from 1 species